rnacentral:lncRNA from 1 species
UCCAUAAACACCUCUAUGAUGUCUUCGACCAUGUCGGUGAAAAUGGCUAACAUACACCGCUGGAACGUGGCUGGUGCAUUGCAAAGUCCAAAGGGCAUUCUCCGAAAGGUAAAGAUGCCAUACAGACAUGUGAAUGAUGUUUUCUCUCUAUCUUCCGGGGCUAUUGAGAUCUGAUUAUACCCCGAGUAUCCGUCCAAGAAACAAAAUGGGAUCACCCAGCUAACCUGUCCAACAUCUGGUCAAUUAAGGGCAAGGGGAAAUGGUCUUUUCGGGUGGCUACGUUUAAUUUCCUGUAAUCCAUGCAAAUCCUCCACCCUGUGACUGUACGAGUUGAGAUCAACUCGUUCUUCUCAUUUUGUACAACUGUCAUUCCACCUUUUUCGGUACACACUGGUCGGGGCUUACCCAAUUGCUACCAGAGGUGCGAAAGAUGUUGCCCGCAUCCAGCCACUUGAUUACCUCCUUUUUCACUACCUCUUUCAUAUUCGGGUUCAGCUUUUAUUGAUGUUCCCUGGAAGGUUUGUGCCCUUCUUCCAGACGAAUCUUGUGCAUGCAGAAGCCUGGGCUAAUACUCUUUAUGUCUGCCAUGGUCCAACCAAUGGCGGUUUUGCAUUCUUGCAACACCUGCAGUAAUUGUUCUACCUGCACAGCAAGCAAACCAGAUGAUAUAAUAAUAGGAAAAGUAGAAUUGGGACCCAAGAAAGCAUACCUGAGGUGGGGUGGAAGCGGUUUUAGCUCCAGCUGUGGUGGUUCCUCUAUUGAUGGUUUUGUAGGUGGUGUAGCUAUCUCUUUUAGAUUGAGGGGCUCGAACUGAGGUUCCUUCUUCCAGAAUCCUUGUCCUUCGAGUGACAUGACCCACUCUGCCAACCCUUCACCAUCCAUCUCCUCUAAAUUUGUCAAGCAAGCUCCCAAUGGAUCUUUGGCAUUCAGGGUGUCAUCUUCUUCAUACAGGAUCACAUCCACAACUUCCACUAGUGAGAAAUUUGCAUAUUCACUGGGUCUCCUUAUGGAUUGUUGAACGUUGAAUAUUACUUCUUCAUCGUUCAACCUCAUUUUUAAUUCCCUAGUUUCACAAUCAAUCAAUACUUUACCAGUGGCUAAAAAUGGCCUCCCUAGAAUGAUGGGUAUCUCAUCAUCUACCUGGCAGUCCAGAAUAACAAAGUCUGCAGGGAAUACAAACUUUCCCAAUUGUACCAGCACAUCAUCAAGAAUCCCCGUCGGUCUUUUAACUGUGCGGUCAGCCAAUUACAACAGCAUCGAAGUCAGUCUAGCUCUGCCAAUAUCCAGUUUUAUAUAUAUUGCCAAAGACAUCAAGUUUAUGCUAGCUCCUAAGUCAUACAAUGCUUUUGCAAAAGCAUAACUCCCAAUAGUACACGAAAUAAUGAAUCUACCUGGAUCAGACAUCUUUUGAGCCAUGGAUCUUGUUACUACCGCAUUGCAUGUCUGUGUUAGAGUUACUAUGGACAGGUCCUGAAAGUCAAAUUACUGUGACAUCAGUUCCUUCAUCAUUUUUGCAUAGCCUGGCAUUUCCCUCAAAGUAUCCAUCAGAGGGAUGUUCAAUUGAAUCUACGAAGCAUCUCCAUGAAUUUCCUGUAUUGAUCGUUUUUCUUUUGUUUUGCUAGUCUUUGAGGGAAUAAUGCAUGCAUCGCUCUUUGUCCAUUGCUUGCUGGCUGUUCUUUGUUAGAAUUUUGUGGCACAAAAGGUACCACCUGUUCUGCAACUUGUUCACUUUCUUUAGCCUUACCCUUAUCAACCUGAGCCUAUUCAACCACCACUUCAGUAAGUUCUGUUGAUUCAUCUAUCGCUAAUAGAACUGGAGUGGCUGGUGUAGUCUCUCUUCUAGAUUGAGCAACUUCUUGCUCCAUGUCUAAAUCUAUCCCAUUGUGGAGACUUACUGCCAUCAGCUGAUUUGGGUUUUGCUCCUUGGGGUUAAUGUUCGUAUUGGCUGGAAAUGUUCCCUAGGGGCGGUUAUUUAAGGCCAUGGACAGCUGCCCUAGUUGAGUUUCAAUAUCCUUAAUUUCAUAGUCAUGCGUUGCUAACUUUUCCUGUAUCUUACCAUUUGUUCCAAUGAGUUGUUGGAGCAUACCCCUGAUUUCUACCAUAUUGUUGUCCUUUUGUUGAUGAGGUGGCUGAUAUGUCAAUUGUUGUUGGUGCUGCUGUUGAUAGCCUAGUUGUCUCUGAUAUGGCACCAUUUGGCCUUGGGGCCGCAUACCUCCGGGUUAUGGCAUGUUCAAUUUGUACUGCUGGUUGGGUGCUAGCCCUCAUUGUUGUCCUCCUUGCCUCUGGCCGCAAAAUUGUUGACAUAAUUCAUAUCCUCUUUUAACCAUUGGUUGUCACCUUCUCCACUCCAUGAACACAUAUAAGACUGAUUAAUGCAAGGUAUACACAGUCCUCCAUUUGUUGUGUCAACGAUAUGCACUUGCUUUGUACCCAUCUCAUCAAUCUUCUUUGUCAAUAUACUCAUUUGAGUCAUGAGUGUGACUAUAUUCUUUGCAUGUGAAUUAUUUGGGUGAAGAGGAACUGAAUGCACUAUUGGUUUCAGGGUCGUACCUCUUGUCAUCAAUUUUGGGCCAUCAUGUCAAGAAGGAUUUUACACUCUAUGAAUGUCUUGCUCAGGAAUGCACCCCAGCUGAAACAUCUACAUUGGCUUUUAAAUUGUCUGCUAACCCCACAUAGAAUCUAUGGCCGAGCAUCUGGUCUGGAAUACCAUGGUGGGGACACUUCAUUAGCAUCCCUUUGAAUCUUUCCCAAGUUUCUUGCAAGGUCUUAGUGGGCUUAUGUUUGUACUGUAAUAUCUUAUCAAUCUGUCUUGCAGUCUUGUUGGGCGGGUAAAACUUGUUGAGUAACUGAUUGACUAAUUCUUCCCAAGUGGCAAUGGAAUUUAUUGGGAGCGAAUUUAGCCAAGUAUGAGCUUCCCCAGUCACAGAGAAUGGGAACAGUAAUAGCUUGAUGGCUUUUGGGGUCAUAUAUUGGCUGCCUUUUGGUCACACAAAUUGACAACAAAUUUUUUAGGUGUUGUUGAGGGUCUUCAAUGUGUGACCCAGAGAACAAUCCCUUAUUAUGCAGAAGAGCAUCAUGUUGUUGGUGAUCUGGAAUGUCUUCACUUGAAUUUGGGGCAUAACAAUGCCGGUGGCUAGGUUGUCAGCUGUUGGCUGUGCCCAAUCAUAGAGUGCAUAUUCUUGCACAAGAGGUGCCACCACUGCUUCGUUUGGCACUCCUUCAUUUGGCACAAGAGGUGCCCGAUCAUUUGCAUUGAUGUUUUCCCUGUUGUUCAUUUUAGUUGCGAGUUGGUAUGUUUGUUGUGAUUGUUUGUUCCUCUUGUUGGCACAGUUUAAUGCCCUGAAUGUUUUCUCGGCGUCUGAGAGUCCUUCAAGCAGUUCACCAGUCCUCGAAGAAUUUCUAGGCAUACACCUGAAUCACACAAGAGUUCAAACGUGAGAAUUUCAUUGAAAAAUUAUUUAACGCCGUACAAAUUGAUCUAAACUAAUAAUUCUAGCACUACUUCUAAGUUGUAAUAAAUAACACCGUUAGCUCCCCGGCAACGACGCCAAAAUUUGAUCAUGCCCAACUAUGCCUUAUCAAAGACAAAACGGUCGUUGCAAAUAUAAUCCGGUAUACAAGUUCGGAGGCAAAUCCUCAGGGAACUAACCUAUCUAUUACAACUCUUAGUGAUACUAGUGCAAGCUCAAACAAUUCCCGGAUGCAGAUUUUUAUCAAUAAAUAUUGGGAUUUGUUUAACUAAAGUAAAAUGAUAUUAAAGCUAAUAAUAUUCCAAAUUAAAGAUAAUUCAAUGGUAGAGAGAUCUAGGGUAUUGAUUUCCCCAAUUGCUAGAUUAAUUUUUAACUCUUUUGCUAUAAUCUCGCCGUAAUACUCUAUGAGGAUUAUGAGCUAUGGGUUACCGCAAUUAUCUGUUGAUCAAAUACGAUAAUUUACUAGAGUAUUCUCUCGAACUAUUCUAGCUGAUAAUUUAUGCAGCUCCGAAUUAUCCCACCAAAGUUUCGUAUUUCUAACCCCACUUUUAAAUUCAAGUAAUGAAUCUCUUCAAUUACCCAAAAGUGGUGUUAUUCAACAACAAUCUAACCUAGUAUUCUUUCUCAAGCAACACAAGGUGAUUAGACACGAUUAAUCGAAGGCCCAUUCAUUUAAUCACCAUACAAUACAUAGUUGAACAAUCAUAUAAUAACCUCGGCUCGAUUAUAACAAAAUUGAGUCAAAACUUCAUCUAACAAUUGGUUCCAUCAACCCUAGAUUAGGAAUUUAGCUACUCAUACUCAUAGUAACAAUUUUCCAAAUAAUUUGCAUACUUAAAUUGCAAAGCAAAGAAGAAGGAAUGAAGAAUUCGAUGCCAAUCUCCUCCGAAAAUUGAUCCAAAUGUAUUCUCCCUUCCGAAAUAGUCUCCCUAGGUCUAAGAUAUGUCAAAAGUCCUCAAAAUAGCAUUUUUAUAUGUAUUUAUACCAAGUAGGGUCGAGACCAGAUGAAACACCCUUUCCUGCAUGAAAUAGGACUUGGCUCUGUAAAAAACGUACAGCUAAGCCGCACGCUGCGCCGCACCAUGCGGCGCGUUAGUGGACUUUGUUUGCAGCCUCCACUUUUCUUGUCAGGCAGCCUUUUACACUACUGCGCCGCGCUUUGUGCUGCCCCAUGCGGCACGGCAGUGUAAUUUUCUGAGAGUGAACUUAUUUUGCCCUCUUUUAACAUCCAGACUUGGUACACGACCUCCGAACACGAUCCCGGCUUAAUGUAUUGGGCUUUUACUCAGACUUCAAAUCUUCAGAUUGAUCAAUUUAGCUCCAAAUUAACUUUUGAGCUCAGGAUCACUUCCUGCAAGGCACAAAACACGUACUAAGUGUAACUCACUAUCAUUUAAGCUCAAACAUACGUAAAAAUGCAGUAAUUGGAAUGUAAUACUAUGGAUAAAACACGAGUUUCUAGUCUAACAUCACAUGCAUUAGAGACGUCUCUGAAAUGAGUUAGACUUUGCCUGGGAAAGAGACCGAGUCCCCGAUUCCGAAAUCGGGGAAAUAUAAUAAGAGGAAAAGGGUCUCGAAGCCUGAAGCACCCAAGAUAAAAAAGGCUCCAGCUCGAAGACGCAGGAGGAAUCUCAUUCCUAUGGAUAUUGACUCAGUCCACCAGUUGAAUGAUGAAGAAGAAGACGAGGGUCAAGACUCGGCAAUGGUGGUUCGAGCUAGGAGGCUGGUUGAAGCUGGCAACCCUUUGAGCCAGAAAAUUUGCCUCGAAAUGAAGAGGCUAUGAAGAAAGAUGCGGGCAAAACCCUUGAAUCGCCCGUGGUCGAGAUUGUGCCUCGGCCAUCAACAAACACACUGGAUGGGCCGGCUUCCGAGAUCCCAGUACUGAGAAGAAUGACUCGAGUGAUUCGUUCAGGGCCGUGACAAUAUGUCACUCUCCCUCUUUACCGGCUUAUUCUGAAAAGGCCAUAAGGGAGGCUCGGGAUCUGCAGAUGACUAACUUGGGUGGAGUCCCCAAUGAAGAGGAUCUCUUCUGAGAUUGCUUUACCGGGAUCGAUGAUUCCUCCGAUUUCAACGACAAAUCUACCCUUUUCAAAGAGGCUCAAUGCCUUUUCUAUCGAGUAAGCAUUAAUUCCUAUCGUUACAAUUUUUUUCUUCUUCUCCCUUUACCCUAACUUGUAUCCUUCCUUCUGUGUAGCUUUCACCAAGUUUAGGGCUGACCUGAUCCAAUACGAGUCCGAGCUCCAAAAGACCUCGGAUGAAAGGAACACUUUGAAGCUCCUUUGCAGUAAAAAAGAGGAUGAGCUCAAGGACCUUCGGUCCGACUUGGCCAAGGCUCAUAAGGAUGAGGCCGAGCUAAAUAAGUAGGUAACUGUCAUAUUGAAAGAGUACGGUGUACUCAACCCAACUGUGGAGGCUAAUACUUCAAUGUCUCAGCUGCAGCAAAAACUGGAGAGGAUUGAAAUGCUUCGAGGGGAGGUCGAUCAAAUAAAGGCCAAUUGCUAUCAGUGAAAAGAGAAUGUGGACUACCUUGCUAUAGAGAAAGAGGAUGCUUUGGCCAAACUGGCAUCGGCCGAGGCCCAACUUUGGGGAGCUAAAGAGAAAAGAUCGGCCUAGGACAGAAGGAUUGACGAGCUCGAGGUCAAGCUUGCUGAGCCCAGGGCAGAGGUCGGGUAGAGAGAAACCCUUUUUAAAUUGUUUUGUCGGGGAUAACCUUUUAACCAAUUUUUUCAAAGUAUUUGAAGGCUUGUUGUUUAUUGCGGGAUUCAGACGUCUUCGAGCCGCAUUAUUUUGGCCGUAGCCUUAGGGUAUGCCUCUUGGACUUAUUUCCCGAUAAUAUUUUGAACUUGUUCAAAAUGUCAGUCCCCGAGUACAAUGGCCUUGGCCUUUAUGUCAAGGGGUGUCUCUUUGAGGUCUUACGAAUUCAAGUUUAGAUAACUCGAAUGUGUUGACUGUCGAUGACAAUACCUGAGUGUUCGAGGUGUAUUUAUAUUUGGACCUUGAGCCAUUUCUUACAAAAUCAUAAGUAUGGAACUCGUAUAGUAGCAAAUUUCUUUGAGACACAAAGCAUUUGAUAUAGAAAGAAUGCUUCUUUGAAUAAUUCAUACAUGCGUACAUGUUUUUCCAUCGGGACUCGGCUAAUCUAUUUGGACACGGUUCAUUCAACCGUUUGGCCCAUUAUGAGGUUUCCAUAUCGAGACCCUUUGACAUGAAGUAUUUUCCUCGAAAAUAUAACCCCCAAGGUGAUGCCCCUAGUAUUCGAGGUUGAUUGAAAAGAAACCUUGGAUACUGUUGAAUUUUUCUCAGGUAGAACAUAAUUGUUGCCUCAUUAAAAACCUCGUCGAAAAAACCCAUUCGGGAUAAAAACCGAUCUGAGGGAAAAAGAGUGCAACGCAUGCUUUAAAACCUAAGAUCUUCGUGUUGAAGAGUUUUCUUGAAGCCUCGACCAAACACCUGCAAUAAGUUAGUAUCAAAUACAAAUGGAAAAGGGAGAAAUUCAUACCUCAGCAAUAAUAUUGUUUGAGUAAUGAUACAUUUCAAUUGUUUGGCAAUUUUUCGCCCUCUAUCAUUCCAAGUUUGUAAGAUACUUUUCCGAUGACACCGAUAACUCAAUAUGGUCCUUCCCAAUUCAAGCCUAGUUUCCCUUUGUUUGGGUGUCGAGUAUUGAGGGUGACUUUCCUUAGAACUAAGUCCCCAAUUCCGAAGUGGUAAAGGUUCGCUAUUCUAUUGUAAUAUCUCUCGAUUCUUUGCUUUUGUGCAGCCAUCCGAACAAGCACAACUUCUCGUUUUUCAUCUAAUAGUUUGAGGCUAGUAUUCAUGGCCUCGUGAUUUGAUUCCUUUGUUGCAUGUCGAAAUUUGGCGCAAGGUUCCCUGACUGGAAUUAAGGCCUCAUAGCCAUAUACUAAGGAUAACGGGGUUGCCCCCGUGCUAGACUUCGAUGUCGUUCGAUACGCCCAAAGAACUUCGGGGUAGAACUUCUCUCCAUUUCCCCUUAGCAUCGCUCAACUUUUUCUUUAAGUUUUGAAUGAUAGUCUUGUUCGUCGAUUCAGCUUGUCCAUUUCUGCUUCGGUGAUACGUUAUCGAUAAGAUCCUUUUUAUUUUAUGUUCCUCGAGGAACUCCGUUACCUUGCUACCGAUGAAUUACUUUCCGUUGUCGCAUACGAUUUCAGUAGGUAUCCCUAAUCGACACACAAUGUGGUCCUAAAUGAAGUCUAUAACUUCUUUUUCUCUAACCUUCUCGAACUUCCACCCAUUUAGAAAAGUAGUCCGUCAUAAACAAAAUGAAUUUAGCUUUACUUGGGUCCAUUGGUAGAGGGCUGAUGAUAUCCAUCCCCCGUUACAUGAAUGGCCAUAGGGAUAGGACUGAAUGAAGUUAUUCCCCGGGAUGAUGGAUCAUCAGUGCAAAUCUUUGACAUUUAUCACAUUUUCGAACAAACUCCUUAGUGUCUUUUUCCAUGAUAUCCUAAUAGUACCCUACUCUAAUGAUUUUGUGAAUCAAAGACUCGGCGCCGGAGUGGUUCCCACAAGUGCCUUCAUGGAUCCCUCAUAAAACAUAAUCGGUGUCACUUGGCCCUAAAUGUAACGACCCGGCCGAUCGUUUCAUGAGUUACCACUCCGUUUUCCCCAUUUCCGCUUCUUAUUGUCUUGUUCAAUGGUAUUAUGUGUUAUCGGGUUGGUUAGCUCGGGUUCGAAAAGGUUUUGGUAAGGUUUGAGACACUUAGUCUCUUUUGAGUAAGCUUAAGUUGAAAAAGUCAACCGGAUGUUGACCUGUGUGAAAAAGGGCUCGGAUGUGAAUUUCAAUGGUUUGGAUAGCUUCGGGAGAUGAUUUGGGACUUAGGAGUGUGAUCGGAACGUGUUUUGGUCCGUAGUGGGUUUAGGCUUGAAUUGGCGAAAUUGGUAUUUUGACGUUUUCCGGUUGAUAGGUGAGAUUUUGAUAUAGGGGUCGGAAUGGAAUUCUAGGAGUUGUAGUAGUUCCGUUGUGUCAUUUGGGAUGUGUGUGCAAAAUUUCAGGUUAUUCGGACGUGGUUUGAUAGACUUUUAGAUCAAAAACAGAAUUUGGAAGAUUUUGGAACCUUAAGCUUGAAUUCAAUGUGAUUUGGUUGAUUUGAUGUUGUUUUUGGUGUUUUGAAGAUUGGUAUAAAUUUGGGUAGUGUUAUAUGGCUGGUUUGUGCUUUUGGUUAAGGUCCCGAGGACCUGAGGGUGAUUUCGGAUGGUUUGGCGAAGAUUUGAGUUGGGUUUUGGCAGCUGAAGUUUUUCCCAUUGUUGUCAUAAUUGCACCUGCGGCUACGGGACCGUAGGUGCGGUCUCGCAGAAGAGAGUUUGGAGCUGUAGAUGCGGCCAAAGGCAUAGCUGAGUGAAACCACAUAUCCAAGAGGUGAAAAGCACCUUUGGGCCCGCAGAUGCGGAUGUAGGGUCGCAGGUGCGGAAGGUGACUUAAGUGGUGGCCAUAGAAGCGAUGCUUGGGACCACAUAAGCAAUUGCGUAGGAGCGAGAAAUGGACCGCUGGUACGAAAAGCUUGGUCCAGAAGGUAUAAAAGAUUUCCUUCGCGAUUUUGAGCUAUUUCUUCAUCAUUUUCAUACGGGUUUGAGCUUGAGGGAGCUAUUUGAAGAGGGAUUUCAAGGGGAUUUCAUUGAGGUAAGGAUUUUGGACCCCAAAUUCAUUUCUAUGGUUUUAUUUCACUGAUUUGACUUGAAAAUUAAUGGAAAUUAAGGGUUAAAAAUUGGAAAAACUAGGGCUUGUGAUUGGAGACCUUUGUCAUUUGUGGUCGGAUUUUAGUACUUUUGAUAUACAUGAACUCGUGGGGAGAUAAGGACUCUAUUGAUGUAAAUUUUAUCAAAUUCCAAGACGUGGGAUCGGGGGGUUGAGUUUGGUUAAUUUUGGGAUUUGCGUGGUAUUUUGAUUCCUUUUAAGUGGGCUUUGUUUCCUUAGCAUAUUUUGAUGGUUAUGUACUAAUUUUUGGCUAGAUUUGGAGCAUCCGGAGGCCGAUUCGAGGGGCAAAGGCAUUGCAAGCUAGAAUUCAAAACGGAUAGAGGUGAGUAAUGAUUGUAAAUGUUGUCCUGAGGGUAUGAAACCCCAGAUUACACAUCGUUGUGCUAUGUUGAAGUGACACACACUAGAUAACGAGCGUGGGGUCAUGCACUGUUGGGGAUUGUGAUUUAGUCCAUCUCGAAUGACUAUUUUACCGCGUAUUUGAUUGAAAAUUGUUUGCUAUCAUCAUUUGGGCUGAAUGUCAUAUUUGGGCCUCGUGCCAACUGUUUUGGACCCUUAGGGGAUUUUUACUGCUAUUUUCUCUCUGUUUUGAUUUUAUAUCUAUACUCAGUCAUGCUAUAUUCUACUAUUUUCAUAACUUAGCCAUGUUUACUAUAUUUUAACACUUUAAAUUAUAUUUUGGGCUGAGCAUCAUGUUUUACUGUGCCCGAGUGGCUUUUAGAGAUUUCUGACUGAGUAGGGUCGAUGGCCUGUAUUGUGAGGAUUAUUAUGGGAUCGGGCUGCACGCCGUAACAAUGUUCUACUGAUUAUGAUUAUAAGGCCGAGGGCCUAAGUUGUACACCACAAGGUGGCUUGAUAUGAGGCCGAGAGCCUAUUUGAUUAUGCCACAAGAUGGCUUGAUAUUGCGCUUGGGCCGUAAGGGCCCCUCCUUGAGUUUGUACACCCCUAGUGAUUGCGGGUACCUAGUGAGAUAUGUGAUAUAGCCCGAGAGGCUGAUUUCUGUUGGUAUUGUACCUGAAUGGCUGAUUUUAUUUGUUUAUCUUUUCUCGUUGAUUUUCAUUUACUUGUUUAAUUGUUAAAAAGGUGUUUUAAAGAAGCUUAUAUGUUAUUAAGGUAGUUGCUCGGCGUUUGCAGCCCAGUGUUUUUCCCUCUUAUCUUACUUUCUAUUUCUAGUUCUGUAAUAGACUGUAUAAACUCUUUCAAAAUCUUAGACACAUGUUUAGAUGCUCAUGACUGGUGACACCCCGAUGUCGGGUUGUGUUUGUUUCCGCAGUUGAUAUACUUUUCACUCUAUUUUUGGGAUUUAUCAUUAUUAAUGAAAAUUAUGAGUUAUUAUAUCUGUUAAUAUAUAUUGGGGGUUUGUGUCAGCUGGCCUUGUCUUCACGAGAGGCGCCAUCAUGACCGGGUCUGGGUUAAGGGUCGUGACAAGUUGGUAUCAGAGCCUAGGUUACAUAGGUCUCACGAGUCAUGAGCAGGUUUAGUAGAGUCUCGCGGAUCGGUACGGAGACGUCUGUAUUUAUCCUCGGGAGGCUGCAGAACCUUUAGAAAAAACUUCAUAUUCUUGAAAUUCUUGUUGUGCGAACCUAUUGAUCUGAGUACUAAACUUAUGUAUUCUAUUCUCUUAUAGAUAGUGAGGACACGCGCUACCGGUCAGGAUGGAUGACCACUAGUACCACCAACUGUGGCCACUAGGGGUCGAGGAUCGGUCGAGGUCGUGGUAGGGGCAGAGAUGUGGCCCGCACAACAGCUAUGGCAACAUCUGCAGAUCCACCAGCCUCCCCAGUUCAUGAUCAGGUCCUAGUUGUGGACGCUCCAGCAGCACCAACAGCACCAGCUCAGGCACCAACUGUACCCAUUGUGAUUCCGAGUCUUCAGGAGGCCCUAGCCCAGAUUCUAUCAGUAAUACACUGGCCUAGCUUAGGCGGUCUUAGUUACUACAGUCGCAGCUACUUCUCAGGCCGGGGGAGGCACUCAGACUCCCACCGCUCGCAUACCUGAGCAAGUUGUGCAGGGACUUCAGACACCAGGAGCACCUCCAGCCCAGCCGGUUGCAACUGUUCAGGACUAUGUAGCCCCUGCUAUGCCAGAGGACGAGCAUCGCAGGUUGGAGAGGUUUGGUAGACUUCAGCCUCCGACUUUCAGUGGUGAAGAGGAUGAGGAUGCCCUUGGUUUCUUCAACAAGGGUUAGAGGAUUCUUCGUACAACGCAUAUUCUAGAGACAAGCGGGGUCACUUUCACUACUUUUCAGUUUUCUAUAGCUUCCUUCACUUGGUGGGAGGCUUAUGAGAGGCGUAGGCAUAUUGGUAUAGCACCCCUUACCUGGCAGAAGUUCUCCGUUCUCUUUUUGGAGAAGUAUGUGCCACAGUCUCGCAGAGAGGAGCUGCGCAGGCUGUUCGAGUGGUUGCACAAGGAGAGAUGACUGUGAUGCAGUAUGAGAUGAGGUUCUUGGAGUUUAUCUCGUCAUGUUGUUUGGUUGGUUCCUACAGAGAGAGAAAGGAUUAGGAGGUUAGUUAAUGGCUUCACAUAUCAACUUCGUAUUCUCAUGACCAGGGAGAGGGUGUCUGGUGCUACUUUUGAGGAGGUUGUUGACAUUGCUUGUGAGAUUGAGUCAGUUCGUCGUCAGGAGCAAGAUAAGAGGGAGGCCAAGAGGUUUCGGGGAUCUGGUAGUUAUGGUGGCUCUCCUUCGAGAGGUUAGUUUCAGCACGGUAGAGGCCGUCCAUUCAGGCAUGCUUAGUCAGCUCACCCAAGUUAUCGUGGGGAGUCAUCGGGUCAUGGUUCUCAUAGUUCUCAUGAGGGCAAGUUAUCACUCAGUGUCCUUCCAGCCCAGAGUUCGUCCCGUGCUCUGUCAGUUUAGGGUUUUUCUAUGCCAGGUGCAUCUGCUAGUUAUUCUGGUGCUACGAGUUCCCUUUAGUCCCAGACUCCAGCACUUGGGAUUUGCUAUGAGUGUGGAGAGAUGGUUCAUAUGUGGAGGCAAUGUCCUCGUCGUCUUGGGGGUUCAUCUCAGUAGAGGAGUCAGCCAUCGACUUCAGCGCCAGUUACUUCACCACCACCCACCCAGUCAGCUAGGGAUGGAGGUCAGUCAACUAGGGGUCACCCUAGAGGGGGAGGUCGAUUAAGUGGUGGUCAUGCCCAUUUUUAUACACUCCCAGCUAGACCGAGCUAUUGCUUCAGACGUCGUGAGCACAGGUAUUGUCUCAGUCUGCCACAUAGAAGUCUCUGUAUUAUUUGAUCCCGAUUCCACUUAUUCUUAUGUGUCAUCAUACUUUGCUCAUUAUCUCGAUAUGCCAUGUGAGUCUCUUAUUACAUAUGUUCGUGUAUCUACUUCGGUGGGCGAUACUAUUGUUGUAGACUGUGUGUACCGAUCAUGUGUGGUAAAUAUUGGGGGUCUGGAGACUCGAGUGGAUCUUUUGUUAUUAUUUAUGGUAGACUUCGAUGUUAUAUUGGGCAUGGAUUGGCUAUCUCCGUGUCACGCUAUUUUGGACUGUCAUGCCAAGACAGUGACAUUGGCUAUGCCGGGAGUGCCACGAAUUGAGUGGCGAGGUUUGACUAAUUAUGUUACCAGCUGUCACACCUCUUUUUUCCGGCCCCGCGAGGGUACAAGGAGUUUUUUCCAAUUAAAGAACAAUCGAAACAGGAUUUGUUUGUUUAUUUCAGAGUCGCCACUUGGGAGAUUUAGGGUGUCCCAAGUCACCAAUUUUAAUCCCGAAUCGAGGAAAGAAUGACUCCAUAUUACAGUCUGCGAACCAGAAAUCCGGAUAAGGAAUUCUGUUAACCCGGGAGAAGGUGUUAGGCAUUCCCGAAUUCCGUAGUUCUAGCACGGUCGCUCAACUGUCAUAUUCGGCUUGUUUAUCUGAUUUUAUACAAUUAUGCGCUCUUGUGCAAGUUUUAACUCUUUACCACUUUUAUUAUUAUAUUUUUUAAAAAAAAGAAUGUGAACAUUGUUUAAAAACAUGUCUUUGGAUUGCGUCACAUGAAAUGCACCCGUAAUCCGGAACACAUUUUUAUUUCAAUGUUUUGGGAUUUGGGUCGCAUGAAAUGCGCACCCAAGUUUAAGAAGGUAAGAUUAAUUAAAUCGCGCCUAAAGAGUCUAACGCGUUAUUGUCUUUGGGGAAGGCAGUGAAAUUCACUAAACAGUCCAUCCCGAAUUCCAAGUAUUUAUUAUGACCAAUUAUUGAGGGCCCCGCAAUUUGCAUUUUUUUGGGCGAGGCUCAUCUCAUUUAUUUUUAAAGGACAAUCCUAAAAUGCCUACAUUUUUCUCUAUUAAAUUUGUCUCUACAAAAUGAAAGAGAAAAUGUCUUAAUUUAUUUACAUGCUGAAAUUAACCAAUAAUAUUUAACUAAACAACAUUCUUCCAAGUUCCAAAAUGGUCUAUUCGCUUGAUGUACUAACGUGCUUUUUGAGACAUGGUAAUCAUCCAACAAUAACGAAUUAACUAGACGAAGUUACUACACCAUUUUUUUAGGCAAUAUAUGGAUAGUUUGUCCGUUAAGCUAUCGUCCGAUGUUUCACUAUAUAUAUUAAACAGCUACAUGAUUCUGAUUAGAGUAAGCUAAACAAUUUAUAUAUACAAAUAAAAUUUAGAAUAUAAUUAAAAUAAAUCUGGAACUUCAACUCUUCAUUUUCGUAUUCAUGCUACAUGUUUCAGUUUACAAUAAUCAACGUGUCAGUUGUGUACCUGAUAUUGGAAGCAAAAGAAAAGUGAGAUCAGCAGAAACUCAGUAGCAUACAACAACAACCCAGCAACCAGCAAUGAGAAACCAGUGAAGGAUUUUAAAACUCAAGAUAAAGAUCCAGAAAUACCAACAACAAUAAACGGACAGAAGCCAAGGGAAUCUUUUCAGAUUUGAAAGACUAAUUAAUGUUCAACCCUUAAUUUCUAAAUCCGUAUAUCAGAAUAUUUAAAUUGUAUAUCAGGUGUAUAUUAUUCUUCUUUUGAAUUUCCAGAAUAUUUUUCUUUUUAUUUUUGGAGUCUUAGUAUUUUCGGAAUUUUUCCCUCUCUUAAAAUUCAACUCCUUUUUUUCUCUCUCUUCCUUCUUUUUUCUGUCUCUCUUCU